GGUGAAAAAGCUCGUAGUUGGAUUUCUGUUGAGGACGGCCGGUCCGCACUAUGUGCGUGUAUCUGGUUCGGCCUCGGCAUCCUCUCGAAAGCCGUUUCUGCGCUUGAUUGCGUGGUUCGGACUUCGGGACUUUUACUUUGAGGAAAUUAGAGUGUUCACGGCAGGCAAGCGCCUUGAAUAUAUUAGCAUGGAAUAAUAAUAUAGGAUCUUGGUCCUAUUUUGUUGGUUUCUAGGGCUAAGAUAAUGAUUAAUAGGGACAAUUGGGGGCACUCGUAUUAACGCGUCAGAGGUGGAAUUCUUGGAUUGCGUUACGACGAACUACUGCGAAAGCAUUUGCCAAGGAUGUUUUCAUUGAUCAAGAACGAAAGUAAGGGGAUCGAAGAUGAUUAGAUACCGUCGUUGUCUUUACCAUAAACUAUGCCAACUAGAGAUGGGGCUGCGGUUUAUUUAUGACCCGCUCCGCACCUUAUGAGAAAUCAAAGUUUUUGGGUUCCGGGGGGAGUAUGGUCGCAAGGCUGAAACUUAAAGGAAUUGACGGAAGGGCACCACCAGGAGUGGAGCCUGCGGCUUAAUUUGACUCAAUACGGGAAAACUCACCAGGUCCAGACAUAG
rnacentral:rRNA from 1 species